UACAGAGGUCUCAAGCGUUGUUCGGAUUCAUUGGGCGUAAAGGGUGCGUAGGUGGCUUGGUAAGUUUGAUGUGAAAUCUCCGGGCUUAACCCGGAAAUGGCAUUGAAUACUAUUGAGCUGGAGGUUUGGAGGGGGGGGACUGGAAUUCUCGGUGUAGCAGUGAAAUGCGUAGAUAUCGAGAGGAACACCAGUGGCGAAGGCGAGUCCCUGGACAACACCUGACACUGAGGCACGAAAGCUAGGGGAGCAAACAGG
rnacentral:rRNA from 1 species